rnacentral:rRNA from 1 species
UACGUAGGGGGCAAGCGUUGUCCGGAAUCAUUGGGCGUAAAGAGCGUGUAGGCGGCCCGAUAAGUCCGCUGUGAAAGUCCAGGGCUCAACCCUGGGAUGCCGGUGGAUACUGUCGGGCUCGAGUCCGGAAGAGGAGUGUGGAAUUCCUGGUGUAGCGGUGAAAUGCGCAGAUAUCAGGAGGAACACCAAUGGCGAAGGCAGCACUCUGGGACGUGACUGACGCUGAGACGCGAAAGCGUGGGUAGCAAACAGG